AUAAGACGUACAUCAGAGUCUCUUAAAGUGUAUAAUAAGCAAUAUAAGUAAGUCGAGCUCUUGGAGUCGCUUACGCGUAACGUGACAGCAUAUUUCCAUAAAGGAUUACUUGCAUUUUUAAAAGCAUUAUUGGAUUUCCGAAAGAAAAAUUAACCCAAAUCUGUUGAAAGUCGUGUACCAGUGUCAAGUCACGGAGGUGCUCCGCCACAUGGCGGCUAACCUCAAA